UAGGGAAUAUUGCAAAAUGGGCGAAAGCCCGAUGCAGCAACGCCGCGUGGGCGAUGAAGGCCUUCGGGUCGUAAAGCCCUUUUUGAGGGGAUGAGGAAGGACAGUACCCUCAGAAUAAGCCUCGGCUAACUACGUGCCAGCAGCCGCGGUAAAACGUAGGAGGCGAGCGUUACCCGGAUUUACUGGGCGUAAAGCGCGUGCAGGCGGAUUGGAGAGUUGGAUGUGAAAGCUCCCGGCUUAACUGGGAGAGGUCGUUCAAUACUUCCAGUCUUGAGUGCAGUAGAGGGAAGUGGAAUUCCGGGUGUAGUGGUGAAAUGCGUAGAUAUCCGGAGGAACACCAGUGGCGAAAGCGGCUUCCUGGACUGUAACUGACGCUCAGACGCGAAAGCUAGG
rnacentral:rRNA from 1 species